CCUGUCAAGCUGACUCCACCAGAGUGUGUGGCAGAAAUGCAAAUAGUUCUUCCUGUGUAAGAAAUAACAAACAUCUUCUGAAAUACUCCCUCUGCAAAGCCUCUUUGGAAAAACAAAUGACUAUCCAGGUUCUAUUCUUAGCCAUGCCUAGUUAAAAUCAGGCAUUUUGGAGGUAACUGUAGAACUUGGGGCUAAAGAAAAAAAUGGCUCCUUUUAAAAUCAAGUUGCGGCCUUCUGGUUUCUAUCUCCACCUGUAGCAAAUCCUCUGCCACUGGGCUCCAUACCCAAAUAGCGCCUUGAGGGAGCAAGCUUCCCAGGAGUGCAGACAGGACUGUGAGUACAGGGAGAACCAUCACUGCUGCUCAGAGGAACUUGUCCAGAACCUCAGGACCCAGGAACCAAGGGGCAGCUUGGGACAGGAGCCUUACUGUCUCAGGAGAGAGCUGGUCUCCCAGGAGUGCCUACACACCUGUGAGCACAGAUAAGACCACCACUUCUCUUCAAAUUCCUGGCCCAAGAGGGACUCUCACAGAGCCAUCAAGAUACAGGAACCAAGGAUCAGCUGGGGACAGAAUCUUUCUGGUUUCUGUCUGCACCCCAGAGCUGACCCUGUACCACAGCUCUCCAUACCUAAAUUCCUCCCAGAGAGAACUGGUCUCCCAGGAGUACUGACACACAGGCUUGCAGGAGGGACAAGCCAAAGUCAGAGACAGCAAGACCAGCUAACACCAGAGAUAGCCAGAUAUUGAGAGGUAAGCACAAGAGCAUUAGCAACAGAAACCAAGACUACUUGGCAUCAUCAAAACCCAGUUCUCCCAUCACAGCCAAAGCCCUGGUUACCCCAACACACCAGAAAGGCAAGACUGAUUCAAAAUCACAUCUUAUGGUGGUGAUAGAGGAAUUUAAGAAGGACAUAAAUAACUCCCUUAAAGAAAUACAGGAGAACACAGGAAAACAGGUAGAAAACUUUAAAGAGGAAACAUAAAAAUCCCUUAAAGAAUUACACAACCAAACAGGUGAAGGAACUAAACAAAACCAUCCAGGAACUAAAAAUGGAAAUAGAAACAAUAAAGAAAUCACAAAGGGAGACAACACUGGAGUUAGAAAAACUAGGAGUAACAGAUGCAAGGAGUCACAGAUGCAAGAACUCUCAAUUCUGAACAUCUAUCGCCCAAAUGCAAGGGCACCCAGAAUUCUCAACUGAGGAAUAUAGAAUGGCUGAGAAGCACCUAAAGAUAUGUUCAACAUCCUUAAUCAUCAGGGAAAUGCAAAUCAAAACAACCCUGAGAUUCCACCUCACACCAGUCAGAAUGGCUAAGAUCAAAAAUUCAGCUGACAGCAGAUGCUGGUAAGGAUGUGGAGAAAGAGAAACACUCCUUCAUUGCUGGUGAGAUUACAAGCUGGUACAAUCACUCUGAAAAUCAGUUUGGCGGUGCCUUAGAAAAUUGGACAUAGUACUUACAGAAGGACUCAGCAAUACCACUCCUGGGUAUAUACCCAGAAGAUGCUCCAACAUGUAAUAAGGACACAUGCUCCACUAUGUUCAUAGCAGCCUCAUUUAUAAUAGCCAGAAGCUGAAAAGAAUACAGAUGUCCCUCAACAGAGGAAUGGAUACAAAAAAUGUGGUACAUUUACACAAUGGAGUACUAGUCAGCUAUUAAAAACAACAGAUUUAUGAAAUUCUUGGGCAAAUGGAUGUAACUAGAAAAUAUCAUCCUGAGAGAGGUAACCCAAUUACAAAAGAACACACAUGGUAUUCACUCACUGAUAAGUGGAUAUUAGCCCGGAAACUCGAAUACCCAAGACACAAUUCACUGACCACAUGAAGCUCUAUAAGCAAGAACACCAAAGUGUGGAUACUUCAGUCCUUCUUAGAAGGGGAAACAAAAUACCCAUGGGAGGAGUUACAGAGACAAAGUGUGGAGCAGAAACUGAAGGAAAGGUCAUCCAGAGACUGUCCCACCUGGAGAUCCAUCCCAUAUACAGUCACCAAAACCAGACACUAUUGUGGAUGCCAACAAGUGCUUGCUGACAGGAGCCUGAUAUAGCUGUCUCCUGAGGGACUCCACCAGUGCCUGACAAAUACAGAGGUAGUUGCUCUUAGCCAACCAUUGAAGUGAGCACAGGGUCCCCAAUGAAGGAACUAGAGAAAGGACACAAGGAGCUGAAGGGGUUUGCAGCCCCAUAGGAGGAAGAACAAUAUGAACCAACCAGACCCCCCAGAGCUCCCAGGGAUUAAACCACCAACCAAAGAGCACAAAUGAAGGGACCCAUAACUCCAGCCACAUAUGUAGCAGAGGAUGGCCUUGUCAGUCAUCAAUGGGAGGAGAGGCCCUUGGUCCUGUGAAGGCUCUAUACCCCAGUAUAGGGGAAUGCCAGAGCCAGGAAGGGGGAUUAGGUAGGUUGGUGAGCAGGGGGAUGGAGGGAAUAGGGGAGUUUUGGAGGGGAAACCAGGAAAGGGAUAACAUUUAAAAUGUAAAUAAAAAAAUAUCUA
rnacentral:lncRNA from 1 species